rnacentral:rRNA from 1 species
CUCCUACGGGAGGCAGCAGUAGGGGAUCUUCCGCAAUGGGCGCAAGCCUGACGGAGCAACGCCGCGUGAGUGAGGAAGGCCUUCGGGUUGUAAAACUCAGUCACCUGGAAGAGAGGUAUGGGGAGUGGAAUGCCCCAUACGAGACGGUACCAGGGGAGGAAGCCCCGGCUAACUACGUGCCAGCAGCCGCGGUAAUACGUAGGGGGCAAGCGUUGUCCGGAAUCACUGGGCGUAAAGCGUGCGUAGGCGGUCUUUCAAGUCCGGGGUGAAAACUCAAGGCUCAACCUUGAGAAUGCCUUGGAAACUGGGGGACUUGAGUACUGGAGAGGCAAGGGGAAUUCCACGUGUAGCGGUGAAAUGCGUAGAGAUGUGGAGGAAUACCAGUGGCGAAGGCGCCUUGCUGGACAGUGACUGACGCUGAGGCACGAAAGCGUGGGGAGCAAACAGGAUUAGAUACCCUGGUAGUCCACGCCGUAAACGAUGAGUGCUAGGUGUUGGGGGUUCAUCCCCUCAGUGCCGAAGGAAACCCAAUAAGCACUCCGCCUGGGGAGUACGGUCGCAAGACUGAAACUCAAAGGAAUUGACGGGGGCCCGCACAAGCAGUGGAGCAUGUGGUUUAAUUCGAAGCAACGCGAAGAACCUUACCAGGGCUUGACAUCCCUCUGACCGGUUCAGAGAUGGACCUUCCCUUCGGGGCAGAGGAGACAGGUGGUGCAUGGUUGUCGUCAGCUCGUGUCGUGAGAUGUUGGGUUAAGUCCCGCAACGAGCGCAACCCUUGACCUGUGUUACCAGCACGUAAUGGUGGGGACUCACAGGUGACUGCCGGCGUAAGUCGGAGGAAGGUGGGGAUGACGUCAAAUCAUCAUGCCCUUUAUGUCCUGGGCUACACACGUGCUACAAUGGGCGGUACAACGGGAAGCGAGACCGCGAGGUGGAGCGAAACCCAAAAAGCCGUUCGUAGUUCGGAUUGCAGGCUGCAACCCGCCUGCAUGAAGCCGGAAUUGCUAGUAAUCGCGGAUCAGCAUGCCGCGGUGAAUCCGUUCCCGGGCCUUGUACACACCGCCCGU